GAUGAACGCUGGCGGCGUGCCUAACACAUGCAAGUCGAGCGGACGGACGAGAAGCUUGCUUUUCUGAUGUUAGCGGCGGGCGGGUGAGUAACGCGUGGAUCACCCACCUAUAUGACUGGGAUAAUUUCGGGAAACCGGAGAUAAUACUAGAUGAUAUUUUGAACCGCUUGGUGCAAAAGAGAUAGACGGCUUUGGUGUGUAUUAUAGAUGGAUCCGCGCUGCCUUAGGUAGUUGGUAAGGUAACGGCUUACCAAGGCGACGAUGCAUAGCCGACGUGAGAGGGUGUUCGGCCACACUGGAACUGAGACACGGUCAAGGCUCCUACGGGAGGCAGCAGUAGGGAAUCGUCGGCAAUGGGCGGAAGCCUGCCGGAGCAACGCCGCGUGAGUGCUGAAGGUCUUCGGGUCGUAAAGCUCUGUUAUUGGGGAAGAACAUAUGUGUAAUUAACUGAACACUUCUUGACGGUACCGAAUCAAGAAGCAACGGCUAACUACGUG
rnacentral:rRNA from 1 species